UGGGGAAUAUUGCACAAUGGGCGCAAGCCUGAUGCAGCCAUGCCGCGUGUAUGAAGAAGGCCUUCGGGUUGUAAAGUACUUUCAGCGGGGAGGAAGGGAGUAAAGUUAAUACCUUUGCUCAUUGACGUUACCCGCAGAAGAAGCACCGGCUAACUCCGUGCCAGCAGCCGCGGUAAUACGGAGGGUGCAAGCGUUAAUCGGAAUUACUGGGCGUAAAGCGCACGCAGGCGGUCUGUCAAGUCGGAUGUGAAAUCCCCGUGCUCAACCUGGGAACUGCAUUCGAAACUGGCAGGCUAGAGUCUUGUAGAGGGGGGUAGAAUUCCAGGUGUAGCGGUGAAAUGCGUAGAGAUCUGGAGGAAUACCGGUGGCGAAGGCGGCCCCCUGGACAAAGACUGACGCUCAGGUGCGAAAGCGUGGGGAGCAAACAGG
rnacentral:rRNA from 1 species